rnacentral:rRNA from 1 species
CUGGCGGCAGGCUUAACACAUGCAAGUCGAGCGGGGAAAGGUAGCUUGCUACCUGACCUAGCGGCGGACGGGUGAGUAAUACUUAGAAAUCUGCCUAUUAGUGGGGGACAACGUUUCGAAAGGGACGCUAAUACCGCAUACGCCCUACGGGGGAAAGCAGGGGAUCACUUGUGACCUUGCGCUAAUAGAUGAGCCUAAGUCAGAUUAGCUAGUUGGUGGGGUAAAGGCCUACCAAGGCGACGAUCUGUAACGGGUCUGAGAGGAUGAUCCGCCACACUGGGACUGAGACACGGCCCAGACUCCUACGGGAGGCAGCAGUGGGGAAUAUUGGACAAUGGGGGGAACCCUGAUCCAGCCAUGCCGCGUGUGUGAAGAAGGCCUUUUGGUUGUAAAGCACUUUAAGCGAGGAGGAGGCUUACCUAGUUAAUACCUGGGAUAAGUGGACGUUACUCGCAGAAUAAGCACCGGCUAACUCUGUGCCAGCAGCCGCGGUAAUACAGAGGGUGCAAGCGUUAAUCGGAAUUACUGGGCGUAAAGCGCGCGUAGGUGGUUUGUUAAGUUGGAUGUGAAAGCCCCGGGCUCAACCUGGGAACUGCAUUCAAAACUGACAAGCUAGAGUAUGGUAGAGGGUGGUGGAAUUUCCUGUGUAGCGGUGAAAUGCGUAGAUAUAGGAAGGAACACCAGUGGCGAAGGCGGCCCCCUGGACAAAGACUGACGCUCAGGUGCGAAAGCGUGGGGAGCAAACA